AAAUAAACAAACAGAACAGAAACAGACUCAUAAUACAGACAACAGACUGAUGGAUGCCAGAGGAGAAGGUAGUUGGGGGACUGGGUGAAAAGGUGAAG